AUCACUCGGGGGUGGGGAUCACUGAUCACAAGAGAAUUAUGGACGAGCAUAGAGGGAUGGAGAUGAACAAUUCAUCCCAUGCCCACAUAUCUCGUUCACAGAAGACUCCCUUCAGUUGAAGUAAAAAAUGGCUCUCAACUAUGGCUGCGUUGCUCCUCCUCGUCCUUCUUCAUUUUUUCCUUUAUUAUUUCCCACUGAUUCUCAUCAUCACCCUCCAAAGCUUCAGGUACUCAGGCGUAAACGACCAAAAUCCUCAACACAAUUCUCUCGCUUCGCAGUUCCCCCAUCUCCUUAUACUUCCCCCUCACACUCCUCAACCACGCCUAUUGAUGAUAACCCGCAACCAAAACAAGAACCAGAACCAUACCCAAUUCUCAAUUUCUUCAAUUCAGUACAAGAAAAUGAAUUUGACUCCCAAAAUGGGUUCAAAGACGAAGAAGACCAACUGGGUCAUAACAUUCCGAAUUGGAACCCUAAAGCUGAGGGUGUUUUGGGUGAAAUUCUUGACAUAGGAAGGAAUGUGAAGGAGAAUGUGACUUUGGGGGAGCUUUUGGGGCCUUAUGAAGGGAGAAUAGGUAAGGAAGAGUGUGUGGACUUGUUGGGUUUGAUGGCUCAGGAGGAUUUGGUAAUGGGUUGUCUGUAUUUCUUCAAGUGGAUGGGAUUGCAGGAACCCUCGCUGAUUACGCCUCAGGCGUGCUCGGUGUUGUUUCCGGUGUUGGGGAGAGGUGGGAUGGGGGAUGCGUUGGUGGUUUUGGUUCGGAAUUUGCCCGAUACGAGGGAGUUCAGGGAUGUUCAUGUUUACAAUGCUGCUAUAUCAGGUCUAUCUUGUUGCGGGAGGUACAAUGAUGCCUGGAAAAUUUAUGAUGCGAUUGAAACAAAUAAUGUCCAACCAGAUGAUGUGACAUGUUCUAUUAUGAUUACAAUCAUGAGGAAAAGUGGUAGAAAUGCCAAAGACACAUGGGAAUUCUUUCAGAGAAUGAAUAGGAAAGGUGUCGAAUGGAGUUUGGAAUCUGUGAGUGCUCUAAUUAAAUCGUUUUGCGAUGAGGGGCUUAAAAAGGAAGCGCUUAUUAUCCAAAUAGAAAUGGAGAAGAAAGGGAUCUCUUCAAAUGCUAUUGUGUACAACACUUUAAUGGAUGCCUACAUUGAAUCCAACCAGGUUGAAGAGGCUGAAGGCCUCUUUGCUGAGAUGAAAAGAAAGGGGAUUAAACCUACAUCUGCCACUUAUAACAUCUUAAUGGAUGCAUACAGCAGAAGAAUGCAACCCGAAAUCAUCGAGAAACUGCUCCUGGAGAUGGAAAAUAUUGGCUUGGUGCCAAGUGCCCGGUCAUAUACAUCUCUUAUUAGUGCAUACGGAAGGCAGAGAAAUGUGGGUGACAUGGCUGUGAAUGCUUUCGCAAGGAUGAAGAAACUUGGUAUUAAACCAUUUUCACAUUCAUAUACAGCGCUUAUCCAGGCAUAUUCAGUCUCUGGAUGGCAUGAGAAGGCCUUUAUAGCCUUCGAGAAUAUGCAACUGGAAGGAAUUAAACCAUCUGUAGAAACUUAUACCGCCCUACUGGAUGCAUUUAGGCGUGCAGGUGACCCUGAAAUGCUGAUGAAGAUAUGGAAAUUGAUGAUCAGCGAAAAAAUCGAAGGGACACGUGUAACAUUCAACACUCUACUUGAUGGAUUUGCUAAACAAGGACGCUACAUUGAAGCGAGAGAUGUAAUCUGCGAAUUUGGAAAGAUUGGCUUGCAGCCAACAGUGAUGACAUAUAACAUGCUCAUGAAUGCAUAUGCACGAGGAGGGCAACCCUCAAAGUUGCCUCAAUUGCUGAAAGAAAUGUCAGCUCUAAGUCUAAGGCCUGAUUCUAUCACUUAUUCCACUAUGAUAUACGCGUAUGCCCGCGUUCGGGACUUCAGUAGGGCGUUUUUUUAUCAUAAGGAGAUGGUGAAAAGUGGGAAUGUUCCCGAUCCCAGAUCCUAUGAGAAGCUCAGGGCAAUUUUGGAUGUGAAAGCUGCAUUAAAGAACAAGAAGGAUAAAAAGGCUGUACUUGGUAUACUUAAUAGCAAAAUGGGUAUGCUGAAAUCUAAGGAAAAAGGAAAGAAAGAUGAGUUCUGGAAGAACAAGAAGAAGCAACCAAGAAUUCAUACGUCAACUAGGGAUGGACGCCGAUGACACUGUGGUUGGAAAUUUGGACGCCGAUGAUACAGUCCAUUGGAAAUUGGGAUUUUAUACAGAUUUUUUUUCUUAUCAAGACACUUUUCAGCCGUAAAAGAAGGUUAUAGUAUCGAUCUGAAGUUUCGGUGAAAGAAGACCUUCACAAGACAUUUUCGUGCUUUUCCUGACAGUAUUAGUGGCUGCCUUAUUGGACUUGUUCCCAGUGACCAUGAUUCUAACAGGAACAACCACCGGUAGAGUCUGUUAAAGAUUAUAUGCUGCUUAUUAGUAUACCAUCUCGGUCUAGGUGGAUACAGACUACUAAUCUUCUCAUUCAGACUCUCAUGAGAAAUCCCAAUUCUAUAAGCCAACUUCUGUGUCAGCUUCAUACCCUUAAAAUGAGUUGACAACCUCCGGAAUUUGCCUUUGGGGACAAAAGGAAACGCAAUAAGAACAGAAAGAGACGGUGAAUUUUGGAUAUUGGGAAGGAGAGAAGGUAAUAGAUACGUUGGUGGUAGAUUUGGUGUAUAAGAGCUUGAACAACCUCAUACUCAUCAGAAGACUGCUUCAACAUUGUCUUUCUUCCAUCAGAGGGAAGUGAAAUCGUGGAUUUGAUUACAUCUUACAUUCCAUUCAUUUGACCGUUAUCUCGAGGCCUUUGCGUAAUCUUCAAAAAAUAAUUACCCCCCUGAUAAACUGUGGGUCUAUGUCAUGGAUGCUGCUGUAUAUCAGACUAGCUCGAAGGAGAAGAAGGCCCAAUCCAUCAAAGUACGGAGCAAAUCACCACCCUGCACAAUUUCUUGUGGAGGUGAUGACCUGAAGUGAUGGUGUUAUAAGUUAGAAGUUGAAUAAAAUUGCAUAAUUGGAUAUUCUUUCUUUGGUGAAA